UCCCCCUGCUUCUGUUCCCUCUCUCAUUGUCUCUCUCUCUCUCGGUCAAAUAAAUAAAAAAUCUAAAAGAUUCGUCAAAUCAAUAAAAUGUUAGGAAAGCAUUGCUUUGUAAAGCACUUAGUAACAAGGAUUAAAUCACAUUGGUCAAAGUGAACUUUUAUUUCCCUAUUACAUGUGUAGGAGUUACCAUUCAGUGUUCUGUAAUAUGUAAACAUGGACAACACUAACAUUGUAGGUAAGUGCAGGAACCCAAGGAGUAUUUUGAGAGUGUAGUCAAAAUAUACUCAUGGGCCACCUGGGUGGCUCAGUCAGUUAAACGGCUGACUGUUGAUCUCAGGGUCGUGAGUUCAAGCCCUAUAUCACGCUGAGUGUGGAGCCUACUUAAAAUAUACUCAACAUGGGAGAGCUGUUUUUGACAUUUUGCUCAAACCCAAACUCUACUACUGAAGAAAAUUCAUUUUUUUCAUGGAAAGUUUUAGAACAGGUAAUUGAUACAAAAAGUACACAGAAAUGGUUGGUACAGAUGACCUUGAAGUUUGUUUUUAAUAUUUUUAUUUAUUUGAGAGAGAGAGAGAACAGAGGGAGAGUAGGAGGGAGAAGCAGACUCCCGUGGAGCAAGCAGGGAGCCCGAUGUGGGACUCGAUCCCAGGACCCUGCGAUCAUGACCUGAGCCCAAAGGCAGCCUCUCAACAGAUUGAGCCACCCAGGUGCCCCUGACAUUGAAGUUUCUUUUGGACUUCCCUGAUCCUGAGAUCAAAACUGAAUUUUUAUUGCAAACUAGCCUCUGGCAUUGAAGGUUAAUCUAUAAUUGGUGAAUUUAUUGGAGUCAUUCAGUUUCCUGCUGUGAUUCUGAGAGAAUCUUAGUUCAGAGGACAAAAAACCUAAUUUAAUAUAAAACAACUAAUAGGAGAAAGUUGACGUGUUAACACAAAUACUCAACUGAAAACCAAAAGGCUUAGCCUGACAACCAAAACUUGUUUCAACACCUCUACUAUAUAAUAUACUAAGGAGCAGGGAGUUACUUGUGAAAUUUCCUGCAAUUAACUUUGCUCCAAGGCAUGUACUUUGCAGUGGAUAUACAUAGUUUUAGUAUAGCAGCAAUUCCCAGUUGAAACUUCAGAUUUAUACUUAUCAUAACCUGCUAUUAAUCAGUGUUCCCGUUUGUAGCAGCUUUAGUCCUCUAGUCCCCCUGACUCAUUGCUUCUAUUCUCAUUUUGUUUUCCUUUGCCAAGUGUCCAUGUAGUUUGUUCAUUCAGAAACAGAAUUGGUAUGAUUGUAGUGUAGUCACCCAGUAAUUUUCAAUUUUAUAUUAUUUAACCUUGCAAGAGAGCUAAUUAUAAUGGGUAAUAUGGUUAGUUUUAUAAAGAUGCUUGUCAUAUGAAAUUGAGUAUGAAGUUUGUUACUCUUGUGACAUUAAAAGGAAAGUAGCAGAUGCCAUCUCGAAAUUGAUUUAUUUUCAUUUCCUGUAUGAUAGCAUCUUUUUCUUUCUUUUCUCUUUUCUUCUCUUUUCUUUUCUUUCUUUUUUUAGCAUCCCUUCCUGCUCUUCCCAGACAGCAAUGAUAAAAGCUCUGGAAAACUUAAAAUGCAGCCAAGGGGAUUAGUUUCAGAAACAACUGUAAUUUUAAAGAUUGAUGGAAGGAAAGUUCUUUAAUCCACAGGUAGCUUUUUAAGCACCCUUACUAUUUUCCAGUUUCCCUUUUUACUUCCACAUGUAUUUUAUCCACACUUGGCCUCUCUCCCUGCCCUCCUGGAAGCUCUGGUACUUCCACUGCAGUACAGCUUUCGUUUCUCUCCCACCCUUCCGGGCCAUGUGCAUCCUUGACCUUGACCCUAUAAAUUGUGUUUUUUUCCAAUUUAAUUUUACUCAUUUUUCAACUGACUUGGUAGAUCACUUAUUUUGUGAAUUAAGUUGACAAGUAAGGUUGAAAACAAUUUUCUUAUAAAAUUGGGCAGUUUACAAUUUAAUUCUUUCUCACCUUUAGAGGGUUGCUAGCCAGUGGACUGGAUACUCCUCUUAUUUUGCUGGUGAGAAAAAUCAACAUUUGGGAAAUUGCUUCCCCUAGAAUGAAGUUGACUACAACAAAAGGAAUGCUUCAGGGACUUGGACAUUAAAAUUAGAGAGGAGAAACAAAUUUUCUUUUACUAGGCAUUUAGAAAAAUUUUAAACCAUAAAUUUAUUUAAUAGUACUAUAUUGUGGGCCUAGUGAAUUUAAGCUUUCUCAUGUUGGAAAUAUUUACUCCAUCCUUCUUUUCAGUUAGGUAGCCUGUGAAUCUUUCCAAACAAUUAAAAUUCUGGCUGAAGGUAACCCUGUCUUAAAAUAACGCUCUGUGUUCCCCUAGUGUUUGCUAACUAUAUUCCUAGCCAUUUUAGUGUAGUUACACAGACAAGAGCUACAUGUAUCUGUCUGCAUGGAUGAUUGAUCAGCCAACAACAACCGUCUGAGAACAGGCUUGAGAAUUCAGUAUCGAUCCGUGCAUGUUGGAAUCAUAAACAUCAUCCUGCCUUUGGAACAGCUGGAUGUCAUUAUGAGUCUCCUGGACAGAGGCCAGGUGGAGCAGUUUCUCUUCAGCACUAGGGGGAAAUGUCAGCUGUAGGAAAUAAAGAUAACAUGCUGAGUUUGGGAUUUGGUGGCUUCCACAAUAUUUAGCUAGCUCCAUGGUCCACCUCCUCUGUCCAUCGGCUUGGAGAUACGCACAUGUGGUGUUGGUAUGUGGCCCAAGGGUUUAAUUAACUGUACACAGAAAAACAGGGUCGUCUUAGGUUAAACAACUUAAUGGAAACUCAUUAGAAACACCACAUUCAUGUUCACUGAUGGUCAGCAUGAGGAUCACAGAGCGGUCCGGGCUUUGUGGACGGUGGGAUGUGAGCCAGGCUGUGGCCUGGAAAGACAGCCACAGCUGUGUUCUACCUUCUUUGCGCUGUAGUCUCAGGGCUCAGUCGUGAGGGUGUGGAUGUGUUUUUCUCUUCACUUGCUUGUGAUCACUGUGUAUAGGCGAAGUCUGCCAGGUGUGGCCACUUACUUGUAAUUGCAUGAAGUAUCUUUUCUAAUGUUAAAGACAAACUAAAUUAUUGUCUAGUAAUUAAAACUUUAGAGUACCAGCUAGCUCAUUGUACAUUAACUGCCCUUAUUUAUGGAAAGUUAAUAACAAAUCCUAUUCCUGUGUUUUAGCUUGCAGUCUUUGGAGGUAAGCAGGGUCAUACCAGGUCUGAAUUAGGAUGAACGGCCUCUAAAGAGCAUCUGAGUGAGGCAGGGGUGUGUGAGACCAGCAAGGCAACAAGGAAAUGGCUUUGGGGGGAACAGGAGCCUGUUUUCUUCCUUCUCAUCUCUGUGCAGCAUUCAUUCUGCUCUGCAGACCUCUACAGGUGAAGUACUUCAGGGGAGGGAGCUGCAGUGCAUGGGAGAAGAUUUUCUAAGUCUGGCGGAGUGCUUUAACGUGUUCUGUAACUACACACCUCUGGUUGGUGGCCUGGCACUUAGCGGAAUGGAUCUGGUAUUCCUCCAGGUUUUAGUGCCCUAUGUCUUUGACCUUGCCCUUUCUGACAUAGAACAAAAAUGCCUGACCUUGGAAUACUUAAAAAUUGUAAUGCUACCUCUAGUGAGAUUUAAGUCUAUCAGUCAUAUUGUAAAAAUUCUUUGAGUGUUUACUAAUUCUUAUUAAUUCCUACUAAUUGCACUCCAUUUUUUUUUUUUGAAAGGUGUGAGGAGGGAGUUGUGUUUGUUUUUUGCUUGCAUGACCCUCUUCAUAAGAUCUUACUCUGUCUUUUAAAAGAUACCCAUAGGGAUGCCUGGGUGUCUCAGUCAAUUAAGCAUUUGACUCUUCAUCUCGGCUCAGGUCUUGAUUCAGCGUUGUGAGUUCAAGCCCCACGUUGGGCUCCACACUGGGCAUGGAGCCUCUCAUGGACUAACCUGAGAACAUUUAUGAAUCUGAUGAAUUCAGACUUCUUAUAUAUUUUAUCCACACAGAAACAAAGAAGACCCUCUCAGUUAAGCAAUUGGAUACAUUCUUGAAUUUAUCCUCCAGCAGAUUGGUGGCUUGAUAUAUUAUUCCAUUAGCAGCGUGUCAGCCUUCAGUAAACUAAAUAUGGCGUGGCUAGCCUUAUGGCUAGCUGGUUCUGUGCCAUAGGACCACAGGAAGUCUUUGUGGGGGUCUGCUAUGGGAUUAGGCUUUCCUCAUUGAAGUUGGAUUCCAGUUAGUUAUUUUAGAGAAUGUUAUUUUUAAAUUUCAAAGCCAUUUCUUCUUGCAAGUCCACCUACCUAUAUGAGGGCAUUCCUCCUGACCAGCUCUUUUGAAGUUUUCCUCAAGAUGUCUGUCACCUUUUAGGGCCCCUGCUUACCAAGUCCUUCACACAGAACAACUGCUUGGUCACAUGAAAUGCCAUUCCUCAGGUUGAAGAAAUAAAGGUUUCUGACUCCUCCUCGUUUGUGAGGGUAGAAUUUCACUUUUUUUAGUGUUCACAGACUGUAAACAGGAGAAAUUGAAAAAUCCAUUAUUAAUAUUCCAACUUCUGAGGAGCUAGUAGAAGAGUGGAAAAGUAAACAUCUGUUAGUUAACCGAAAUUAUUAACUGAAGGAAAUCUGGAAAUUUAUUUGCUGUUUCAAUCUUACAAAAAUUAGACUACAUGUAUAUUCACAUGUAUUUUUUAAUACAUCUAAUAGAUACCUCCUCCCCCACCUAAAAAGAAAAAAAAAGUUGAAUGAAUGAAAUGGAAUUUUAUGGUUGGUUUUAUUUUGAAUACAUAUUGUAAGUGUAUGACUGCAUUUCAUGAUGGAUUAAUUACAAUUGCUUGUAAGAUGAGCAAAAGUCAAUUAGUGGGGUUUUGAAAGGUCAGCAGCUGAUUUUUCUCUGCUAAAUCAAGGAUAUGAAUAACAUGGUUGAAAUUCUCAAGUGAUCCCAACUAUUUAGCCAUUAGCUUCAACCAUAAUGUCCGGAAAGUCCACAGAGAAGAUCUGUGUAAGUCCUAGCGAAUCAUUAGGUCUAGACCACUAGAAUCAAAAAUUUGUGAUUUUUUUUUUUUCUCUUUUUACCUAAUUAUGAGUAGGACUUUUAUUUUCUUCCUCUCAGCCCUGCUCCCUGUUGAAUUAUGGAACAGGUAAAUACCUUGAGUUGUGGCUUGCACAGUGAAUCUUGACUUGAGAAGCCAGGGGUCCUCCCUCAUAGGGGAGGGGGCCAGUGAACUCAUAAGUUUGUUUGGAUAGCAUGCUUCUGGAAUAUGAAGAGUUUUUGGUUUUUUUUUUAAAGAUUUUAUUUAUUUAUUUGACAGAGAGAGACACAGCGAGAGAGAGAACACAAGCAGGGGGAGUGGGAGAGGGAGAAGCAGGCCUCCCGCCAAGCAGGGAGCCCGAUGUGGGGCUCGAUCCCAGGACCCUGGGAUAGACCUGAGCCGAAGGCAGACGCUCAACGACUGAGCCACCCAGGCGCCCCGGAAUAUGAAGAGUUUUGAAGGAAAACAAGAGGAACUUGCUCUUGAUGGGAAAUGACCUGAGCAGUUGUUUUAAGGAAGCUUUCUCUGAUUGCAGAGGCAAGAGUGUGGAGCCUGGAAGGCCAGGCCCUGAUCUGAGGUGGAAUGAUGAAGAAAUUGAGAUGCAGAGAGGAAGAGACCUGCCCAAGGUCAAAGAGCAAGUCAGUGGAAGGCCUGAGAUUAGACUUGCGGUCUUCUAGGUUUCCCAUCUGUUGUUUACCACUUUUGCUGGAAACAGUUCAGUCUAAUGGAAUUUGCUCUGCCCGAUGUCUACAGUGUGUUAGGUGAUAUCUCUCACUGCUUCCUACACUCUAAAGCAGCCCAAUAAUGCCCCUUGAAAAUGGAUCCACAUUCUCCUACCUUUAGUUUGCAAUACCUCCACCUGGAGGAAGUGAGGGUGACAGCAGAGUGCAGGAAGGCACGCGGAAGGGCUCGGGGAGUGGCUCCACUACACGCUCCGGGCAGCUUAGUUGAGAGUCCUGAGCAUUUUCAGAGAACCCGCAGGCAAAUAGCCCUCUUCCCGUUUGUCCUGGGGGUAGAGUAGGGAGCAUUUCCUGGCUGUGCAGUUCUACACACACGGAUGCCAGCCUGUCCUAAGCCAGAGGCCAUGGGGUAGGUAAUGAGGCCUGAGCAUGCAAGUUUUGAAAAAACUCCACAGGUAAUUCUGAUAGACAAACAGCGAGGAUCUAAACUUACUAGGAACCAUUACUCUGGACUGAAGGGGGUAAAUGGUGCUGCUUUUGAUGAGAGAUCAGUAUGAUUUGAGUGUUUUUAAAAAUUAAAUAUGAAUAUAAAUUAUUAGUUGAAGUGCCUAAACUGAGGAAUGAGUGUUGUAAUAUUGUUAAUAUUAAUAUUGUAAGAUCAGGCUGAAGAAUCAGGCUUAAUGGACUGCAUUUUUGUAAGUGCUGAUUUAGUCCAAAGCAAAAAGUAAGAGCUGUUUGCUCAUCAUAAACCAGACUUCGCAGGGAUCUUUGGACUUCCUUUAAAAACUAAGGCAGCCAGUAAUGGAACCAGCUGACUAUAAUCUCGAGAUUGGGUUAUUCUGUGUGUCUGGUUCUCUCCCUUUCAAAAAGUGGAAGAUUAAUAUUUUUUAAAAGACUUUUGAACUGAGAGAUGUUGGUAUUUUAUUACUAUUAUUAAUAAUUCUAGGGGAAAUUAUACCAUUUUAUGAUGGAUUUUUCCAAAGGCGAGUAUCUUUAUUUCACUUCCGGUUUACAGUUUAGGUUUCUUCUUCUUUUUUUUUUGUUUAUUUAUUUGAGAGAGUGUGGGAGCACGAGCAGGGGAAGGGGCACAGGGAGAGGGAGAAGCAGACUCCCUGCUGAGCAGGGAGCCCAACAUGGGGCUCUGAUCCCAGGACCCUGAGAUCAUGACUUGAGCCGAAGGCAGAUAGAUGCUUAACUGAAUGAGCCACCCAGGUGCCCAGUUUAAGUUUCUUCUGUCAACAUUUAUCUUGAAAGAAGAUUUUUAUCUGCAAAUUUUUUUUUAAAGCAUUUUUUUUUUAAGAUUUUAUUUGACAGAAAGCAGAUAGAGCAGGAACACAAGCAGGGGGAGUGGGAGAGGGAGAAGCAGGCUUCCUGCUGAGCAGGGAGCCCGAUGCGGGGCUCGAUCCCAGGAUCCUCGGAUCAUGACCUGAGCUGAAGGUGGACGCUUAACGACUGAGCCACCCAGGCGCCCCUUAUCUGCAACUUUUGAGAGAUGUUUCCUUGGAGAGGACCCUCUCAGUAGUAAUCACUCUGUUAGCCACUCUCAGGGCUGUAAGUUAACUGCUUUACAGAUGGCCAUAGCAGGGGUACCUGGCUGGCUCAGUUAAGCGUCUGCUUUCUGCUCGGGUCAUGAUCUCUCAGGGUCCUGGGAUCAAGCCCCACGUUGGGCUCCCUGCUCGGCGGGACGUCUGCCUCUCCCUCCCCCACCCCCCCGCUCGUUCUGUCUCUCGUUCAAAUAAAUAAAAUCUAAAAAUAAAAAAUAAAAUAAAAUGGCCAUAGCCACGACAUCCUGGUCUUCAAAUGCUACCUUCUUUGCCCAGAACUGGGCUGUGUACUUUUCCUUUACUGCUAUUCUGUUUUACAGGUGUGACUCAGCACAUCCAUAACAUGGAUCAGAAGAGAGACAUAGGAAGGUAGAACAAAUUAUUAAGGGUUCUUUUACUUGUUGGGAACAAAUACCUAGACAGAGCCACUUAUUGGCAGCUUAAAAACUUAAAAGUAGUGAGGAAAGGGUAUAAAAAUCCCUCCUUGGAACACAGAAAACACCUACUUAUAAAACACCUUGUCUGCCAUAUUUUUCAGGUCCUAAAGCACUUCUUCACAUUACUUAAAGAGACUAAAACCUAUACUUUGCGUGUGUGUGUGUGUUUUAAAGGUUUUUGUUGUUGCUUGAUAGGAAUAUUCCUCUGCUAAUGUUUUUGAGUAGCACCUGGAAUGCUGAAACGACAGGAGAACUCCCAGGUCACUACGUGUGGGUAUCCGUGAACAGCCAUGGGCUACUUUUCUGUGGUUUAGCUACUUGAAAGCAACACAUGGCCUCUGCGAAGUAUCAGACAGUUGAGCCACAGAAAUCCCUUAACAUUCUCUGCUUAGAGAUCAUUCUGUUGGCCUUAAACUUGUGAGAAAGGAAGACUUUCCGGGGGGGGCGGGUGGCCAUCUCUGAGGAUAUGCAGUUUCAAUGCCAAGAUGUAAGUAGCUUGUGCCUUCAUGAAAAUUUAGACAGUGCUCAUUUCAUCUGUUGACAGAGGCAGCAUUAUGGAUAAGCCCAGGAUUGAAACCCAGCUCCUUGGACGAGUUACCUAACCUCUCUGUGCCUCAGUUUCCCCCAUAUGCCAAAUGGAGAUGGUAAUGGUACCUAGCUCAUUGGUAAUGGUACCUCGCUCGUUGGCUGUAGUGAAACUGAGUGUACAUGUAAAGUGCUUACAGGGGCCUGGCUUGUAGCGAGGGCUUUGUAAGUGCACACUGUCGCUUCUGCCAUUCCUGUUGCUAUAAUUAUUAGUGUUAAUUCUUGUUAACUCUUCUCUGCUCCCAGAUCAUGUUGAGUUUGUAAAACUUCCACAUCCUUGUUUUUUUUCUUCUGAAUUUAUUUACCUUGAUUUUUUUAGACUUAUGUUUUAUGUAAAUAUUUCAAACAUGCGAAACUAGAAAGGACAUAUUCAUAGGAAAAUGCUAUUUUUAAAGGUAAAAAAAAGCAAAAGUGUCCCUUGAUGUGUGAAAAGUAGAAAUCGCAAGCAUAUUACCUUGAGAUAUAUGGAUCAUCUUAUGUGCAUGUACUGUACAUAGUAAUUACCAUUUUGUAGACUUUAUCCCCCAGCCUUAGAGUAUAAGUAUUUUUUUAACUAUUCUUUAGCCUUUGAGUAGUUUUAAGUGGUUUUGGACCAUGAAAAAUUACUGGUUUGUUGAAUAUGUUGCUUCCUUCCUGGGAUCGAGCCCUGCAUCGGGCUCUCUGCUCGGCGGGAAGCCUGCUUCUCCCUCUCCCACUCCCCCUGCUUGUGUUCCCUCUCUCGCUGUCUGUCAAAUAAAUGAAUAAAAUCUUUAAAAAAAAAAAAAUUGUAAGCAAAACGGCAGUGAAAAUCUUACAACGUGAUUGGGGUUAUCUUGGAAGAUUAUUUUUGUUUUGCUUUUUUGAUUAGGAAUCUUUGCAUUUAUUUCCUGGUACAUGGGAAUCUUACUAUAACAUGGUUCUUUGGGAAGUUAGCCUUACAAAGGUGAAAUGGCUCCUGUCCAUGUAAUACCACCAAGUCUCCAUUACUUGGGGCUCAAGGUGGACCUGCUUUGCGUCAAGACCUGGUGCGUGGGAACAGGACUGAGCCGGCUGUCGUGUGAUUCUCCGUGACAUUACUGGCUAGACCUGAGCUGUCUAAUAUGAGAUCUAGCCAUGUGUCCUUAUUUAAAUGUAAAUUAGAAUUAAAUAAAACAAAAAAUUUCAGUUCUUCAGUCACACCAGCCCUCAUGUGUCUGUCCAUAGCCACAUGUGGCCAGCAGCUACCAUACUGGACAGUGCAGAUACAGAACAUUUUCAUCAUGCAGAAAGUUCUGUUAAACAGUGCAGCUCUGGCUUACUCUCCUGCUGCUCACCCCGACCAUUAAGGAAGCCUUACACUGACAGGGAAGAGCUGACGGUUCCUCAUGGGGGUUUCCAAAGCAGAGGGUGACAUAGUUUGCCUGGUUUUGUAUAUAAGGUUUGAUUGGAACACAGCCACACUCAUUUGUUUACCCAUUCUCUGUGAGUGCUUCUGUGCUAGGUGGCGGAGCUAAGGGUUGCAUUGUUAGGCCAGGGUCCACACGUGGCCCACAAGGUCUAAAGUAUUUAUUCUGGUCCUUUAUGAAAAAGUUUGUCAACCCCUUUUACCUAGACCAGGAUUUCUCAACCUCAGCACUGUUGAAUUUUGGCCCGGAUAAUUGUUGCAAAGGGCUGUCAUGUGUAUGGUAGGAUGUUUAGCAGCA